rnacentral:rRNA from 13 species
CUUGUCGGGUAAGUUCCGACCUGCACGAAUGGUGUAACCAUGGCCACGCUGUCUCCACCCGAGACUCAGUGAAAUUGAAAUCGCAGUGAAGAUGCUGUGUACCCGCACCUAGACGGAAAGACCCCGUGAACCUUUACUACAGCUUGGCACUGAACAUUGAACCUACAUGUGUAGGAUAGGUGGGAGGCUUUGAAGCACAGUCGCUAGAUUGUGUGGAGCCGUCCUUGAAAUACCACCCUUGUAUGUUUGAUGUUCUAACAUUGUUCCCUUAUCGGGAAUGUGGACAGUGUCUGGUGGGUAGUUUGACUGGGGCGGUCUCCUCCCAAAGAGUAACGGAGGAGCACAAAGGUACCCUCAGCACGGUCGGACAUCGUGCAACGAGCGUAAAGGUAGAAGGGUGCUUGACUGCGAGACUUACAAGUCGAGCAGGUGCGAAAGCAGGUCUUAGUGAUCCGGUGGUUCUGUAUGGAAGGGCCAUCGCUCAACGGAUAAAAGGUACUCCGGGGAUAACAGGCUGAUACCGCCCAAGAGUUCAUAUCGACGGCGGUGUUUGGCACCUCGAUGUCGGCUCAUCACAUCCUGG